GAAUGUGAGGGUGAACUGGCUGCAAAUUUGUCACCCCACUGAUCGCCAGGGUUGAUUCAGCUGAUCUAGCCGGCUACGCAGGUGUGUGUUCCCUUCCUCCCUCACCGCUCCAUGUGUGUCCCUCCCAAAGCUCUGAGCUAGGUUGAAGACGGUGACCACCGCCAUAGAGGAGGACCAUUUCCUCAGUCAAGGGUAUACCAGCAGCCUGCACUCCCCUACAGGAACAGCCAAACAAGCUCACAAAAUAAAAACAUAAAAGGGCUAGGGAGGAGCUCAGUGUGAAGGUCCCUGGGUGCAAUCGCAAGGACUGUGC
ensembl:misc_RNA 7SK 7SK RNA